UGUAUUCACACUUCAGCGGUACUUAAAUCUAUUCUCAGUAGAUUGAGGAUGUGUAGAAAAUAGAGUGGACAACUUUAAAGUAACUUGUGAUGACUGCAGACCCAAGAAUGUGCAAAGGAAUACAGUGAAAAGCAAAUAUCUGAGGAGCCAACUGCAUGAUAACUACCACCAGGUGAGGUCACCUCUACUACAAACCAGGAGGGAAAUGUCUGAAGUCACUCUGUUUUUAAUAGCGUCAGUCACAUUUUUCAGCUUUAGGACAUCCAAUUUUUCUACAAGGCAAACAGCUUGAAUGCACAGGCAUGAAAAUAAAUGUGCUUAAAGUCAUCCUUUCUUUCACCUGCGGCUCUUGUGUCACUGGCAUACGGCUGAUAAACAAUGUAUGAAACACUGCUGUGUUUCAGGUGGGUUUUUUUUGUUGAUAAUCAUGAGCUAAAUCAAAAACCAUUCACUAUGGUAACUAUAUCAGUAGCUUAGAAGAGAGUGUAAAUCAUAAACAAUCUGGAAAAAAUGACCUUCAGAGCAAGUCAACCUCUACACCAAAUCUAAUACUGCUGAAAGCUUUGUAACCUCCCAUUUCUUUUGAAAAGGAGAUAGUAUUAAAGUGCAGAAUGAAGAGGACUUGCAGACUACUAGCACUGUUUGUAUGAAGGAGAAGUUAUAGCUAAGACUCAGAGAAACCUGCAACAACAAUCUCCAACAAUCUCCCUCACUUUUUUUUUUUUUUACAACAGGAAAAAAGAAAACAGUUGCCACAAAGAGCAAACAGGUAUUAGCCACUACGUUUUCUACAAUUAGAAUAUAUAUUAAUGUAUGGUCCAACUGCUUUUUACUGGUGUACACUGCAUAAGAACACAAGAUGCCUCUUGUAUGUGAUUCUGAGAGAUCCUGUUUUGGGUACUGCAGAAUACUCCUGUUUGUAAUUCUGAGUACUUACAGUCUGUUUUGUUUUACAGAAUACACUGAAAUGAUGAAAGCUAUUUUUCCUUUCUACUUUGAAACACUGGAUCUGAACUUCAGUUAAACUAAGAUCAACCCAGACAUAACAUUCUGUACCUCAUUGUCCCAGGGCUUUGCAAUUUCCCCUUUCCCUGUGCAAUUUUCCACGUAUAGAAAUCUAUGCAGAAGAAUAAUGAUUAUUAUAUGAGCUAAGGAAAAAACACAUUUUCACCAACUCAAACACAGAAUUAUGUGUGUAAGGACUUCAGAUAUCUGAAUAAUUUCCUAAAGCUUAUCCAUUCCACCUCUGAUGCCAAUAUGAAUUUUAUUAUGCAUUUCAGUGGCCACAGCAUCAACCUGCAGCUUAGUUUCUUCCCCCAGUCUUUUAUAUGUGAGACUUUGCCCCUGACCUCAUACACUGUCAAAAGAUAAUGGAGGAAACAAGUUAGACACACAGAGGGAAAAAAGAUUCAAACAACCUUUUGCUACGCACUGCACAAAGGAUUCAGAAAUUUCUUUGCAAAUCCUUCAGAAGGCAAGACAUUAACAUUUAAAACCUUUUCUUGUCCUGAACUUGUGUAGAAACCUUUGAAAAAAGGUGCUCUAAAAUAAAAUAAGGUAAAACUUGAGAAGGCAAUAUUAACUCCCCAAGAGAGCUUAAGUCUCCGCCCUAACGGUUGCUGAUGACAAGCAAACAACCAUUAGAUGAAGAACUGAAAUGGCUGCAAAGAUUAAGUGGCAUCACAACAUUUAAAAUGCUGCAGAUAUUUGUCCGGGGACCAGUUGAACUACUACAUUUGCCCUCACCAACAACAAAAGGCCAAUGCAAAAAUUUAGGUGCACUGAAGGCAAAGUAUUCUUUCACACCAAAGUUUUCACCUGCAAUGUGGUAACAACAUUUUUGACUAGUAUGAUGUAAACUUUACAAGACAAAUCAUUAAAAUAUAACUCUAAGCGUGUAGCUGAUUGUGAACAGGACUGUACUACAGAGACAUUUUCCUGAAAUUCUAAUCUAUAACUGAGACUGCUAUAAUAUUUUUUUUUCCAUCUUCAAUCUACAGUAUGCCAACAGUUGCAUCCCUCAUGGUCUGGAAUUAUGAAAAUGACAUCAAAUUUAAGCUUGUGACCGUCAGAAUGUGAUUGCUGGCGGGCUGGCAGAUCCUUGUUGUAACAGCUCCAUAUGGGUCUUAAAAGGAGGAAGAGUCCAUGUUACACGAGGCAUUUCAUACAGCAAAUGUCUGUGAAGAACAGACUGGCUCACUGCACAGUAUCCAAAAGUCCUUGACCUUCCUAGGGUACUCCUAUGUGGUCACCUUUUCAGGUCCCACGGCUAGUACAGCAAACGAUUCUUAUUUACAGAGUUGUGAUGCUGCUGUGUAACACAGCUCAUGGGUGGACAAUCUCAACAAGCUUUCUAAGAAACUUUACAGCAAAUUUUGCCAUUCCUGCAGCUGCAGUUUCAUCAGUAGGAAAAUCAGAACAUUAGGCCUAAGUCUUUUUGAAAUAUGAUUAUGAAACAUAAGGUAAAUACUUGCAGAUUCUGUUUAUUAGCUUUAAAAUAAUCUGUGUGGUUCCCAUAGUAUAGGAAAAUACAGGAUCAUAGUCUGCUGUCACACUGUUGAAAUCGUCUUCAUAUACCGUCCCACUCUUUAUCUUCCCUUUAAAUGGCUUCCAUCUAACUAGCGUAAUGACUGUAUACUAUCGCUAGUCUGCAGCAUGAAUUAGACAUCUCUGGCAUUUUUAAUUUGGCACAUUUAACAGUCAUAUGGAGCUCAAGUGUGAUUCCUUAUCUGAAAAUCCAGGCUUUGCUAAAUUAGAAGAUCAUCCUUACUUCUUUUUCAAUUCACCUUUUUUUCCCCCAAAGAUAAUUAUAGUUAUACUAUAAAUUCUGUAAGAAAUUAAAUUUACGUGCACAUUGUAACUGGCUCUGCUCUGUGCUAAACUGCAUAUCAAAAUGGAAAGGUGUUCCACAAAAGGAUUUAAACAGUUUCCACAUGCAGUGUACUGUAGCCAGGUUCUCAAUUACUGAUGAAAAGAGACAGGCCAUCUACUUUUCAAUUACUUAAUAAUUUGAGGGUAUUUUUGGAGGAAAACAAGUGUGAUAAGCAAAAGAGAUUUACCAGGAAAUGAAUCCCUUUUGUUUAAUAUAUUUUUUACUUUGUGUAGUCAUACCUUCCAUGAAUGCAAAAUUGCGAAUGCAAAAUAGAAAAUUCAAUACUAGGCUGGGGUAGCUCACUUGGAAUGUCUUCCAAUUGAAAAUUUGGUGGGCAACCUAGAAUAAAAACUUCUCUGUCUUUGCUCAUAUCUGAGCUUGUGUUCAGAUACAUUAGAAAUCACAUUGUAAAUUACAGAGCAGCUCAGCUGAGUACAAAACUGUUACUGGAUUCUUGCAGUCUGGUGACCAAUUUCAUUUCUCUUCAAGAUUAAUUGAGAAAUUUGGCCAUUUCUGUAAUUGUCUGGGGAUCCAGGACAGUGACUGAUUGGAAAACCUUUUCUUCAUAUAUUUUUGCUUGAUUCAGAGUCAUGGGACAAUUUGAUAAUGGAAAAUAAAACCAGCUUUUAACUGGUGACCACAGUACUAUUUCCUAUAGUAAGGGCUGUUUUCAGUAUAGGAAAGCAGGAUUCUGUCAAUAAAAGCAGGCUUUACACCUGGCCACUCCAUAACUUCUGCAAGACAAAUGAGAAACAUAAAUCUUCUGACUUCAGAAGAAGGUAAGGAUGAGGUUCUAAGCAACCACAUCAUCCAUUGCAUUCAGUGUGCAUACUUGAUGCUCACUCAUGGAGGCCCCAAGGAGAAAAUGAUUUGACACUAGAAUUUAGACCAUUAAAAACAAAUAGUUUAAAUAAUGUAUUUAUAAUUGUAAAAACAUUUACAGUUGAUGACCAUGAAUACACAACUGCAGCAAGACAGCAUGCUACAUCAGUUCCCAUCUGAAUGGAAAAAUGUCUCAUAAGGAUCAAAAGUUUAGGAAUGUUACUGAUGUUGAUGACUAUUAUUAUUUUUCAUAAUCUGAGAUGGAAGAUGAAAUUUUAUUUCAUGAAAUAGUUGUGACUGCUUCAGCCUCUAAUCUGUGAAUGUACUUUGUGCUGGAACAAUGGAUUAAUGCUCAUGACGCUAUCAGAAAGGGAGUUGUUACCUCAUUUCUGUAAAUGAGGAGGAGUCAUCAUAUGAAGGUUAAGCAAAUUGCCUAAGAAAUCUGGGAGGAAUUCAGUCUAUUGUGCCUUACUUCUUUGACUUAGAAAAACCGCCUUCUUUCUGAUAACUAUGAUCAGUGUAAAAAUUCUCACUCCAGUUCAGAAGCAGUUUUUGACAGUAAACUUCUAAUUAGAAAUUAUAAUUAGGAUUUUCUAAAAUUCUAAUUCAACUUAUAAAUUUUAAUUAGAAAUUUACCAGAAAAAAGUUGAAGAAAAAUGUUUCUAUGUAAUUUUUUGUUUGUUUGAAAAAGGAUCAAUUUCAAUAAAUUUAAUUACUUGAAAAUACAUUUAAAAUCAGGUUGGCAAUUCUUUCAGAUGCCCUGCUGCAGAGCUAUUUAUAAUGAAAA